rnacentral:rRNA from 1 species
CAUUACCGAGUGAGGGCCCUCUGGGUCCAACCUCCCACCCGUGUUUAUUUUACCUUGUUGCUUCGGCGGGCCCGCCUUAACUGGCCGCCGGGGGGCUUACGCCCCCGGGCCCGCGCCCGCCGAAGACACCCUCGAACUCUGUCUGAAGAUUGUAGUCUGAGUGAAAAUAUAAAUUAUUUAAAACUUUCAACAACGGAUCUCUUGGUUCCGGCAUCGAUGAAGAACGCAGCGAAAUGCGAUACGUAAUGUGAAUUGCAAAUUCAGUGAAUCAUCGAGUCUUUGAACGCACAUUGCGCCCCCUGGUAUUCCGGGGGGCAUGCCUGUCCGAGCGUCAUUGCUGCCCUCAAGCACGGCUUGUGUGUUGGGCCCCGUCCUCCGAUCCCGGGGGACGGGCCCGAAAGGCAGCGGCGGCACCGCGUCCGGUCCUCGAGCGUAUGGGGCUUUGUCACCCGCUCUGUAGGCCCGGCCGGCGCUUGCCGAUCAACCCAAAUUUUUAUCCAGGUUGACCUCGGAUCAGGUAGGGAUACCCGCUGAACUUAAGCAUAUCAAUAAGCGGAGGAA